rnacentral:rRNA from 1 species
CCUACGGGGGGCAGCAGUCGAGAAUCAUUCACAAUGGGGGAAACCCUGAUGGUGCGACGCCGCGUGGGGGAAUGCAGGUCUUCGGAUUGUAAACCUCUGUCAUGUGGGAGCAAAUUAAAAAGAUAGUACCACAAGAGGAAGAGACGGCUAACUCUGUGCCAGGAGCCGCGGGAAUACAGAGGUCUCAAGCGUUGUUCGGAAUCAAUGGGCGUAAAGGGUGCGUAGGCUGUUUCGUAAGUCGUGUGUGAAAGGCGCGGGCUCAACCCGCGGACGGCACCUGAUACUGCGAGACUAGAGUAAUGGAGGGGGAAGCGGAAUGCGCGGUGUAGCAGUGAAAUGCGUAGAUAUCGAGAGGAACACUCGUGGCGAAGGCGGGUUCCUGGACAUUAACUGACGCUGAGGCACGAAGGCCAGGGGAGCGAAAGGGAUUAGAUACCCCAGUAGUC